rnacentral:rRNA from 1 species
AAUGAACGUUGGCGGCGUGGAUUAGGCAUGCAAGUCGAACGCGUGUAGCAAUACACGAGUGGCGAAAGGGACAGUAACACGUAGAUACGUACCCUCCGGUCUGGGAUAGUCCGUCGAAAGACGGGGUAAUACCAGAUAACGUCUCCGGACCAAAGGUGUGAGUCCACCGGUGGAGCGGUCUGCGUCCUAUUAGCUUGUUGGUGGGGUAAUGGCCUACCAAGGCGUUGAUGGGUAGCGGGUGUGAGAGCACGACCCGCGUCAUUGGGACUGAGACACUGCCCAGACACCUACGGGUGGCAG